rfam:Otolemur garnettii contig173318, whole genome shotgun sequence.
AAAAUUAUACUUUCAGGGAUUCUUUCUAUAGUUUCUUAGUAGAGAACUUUCUCUGAACAUGUAGCGCUCUGGAAACCACAGGAGGAGAUACAGCGUUCUCCUGUGGGUCUGAAGGGGGAGCUCUUAGCCUUGCUUUACUGUGCCUACCAUUUGCUGUUGAUAAUCGUUCUUUCCCUUUGAGAGAGUAAGAAGGAGAGGACACAGUCCGAGUGUU